AGAGUUUGAUCCUGGCUCAGGACGAACGCUGGCGGCGUGCCUAAUACAUGCAAGUAGAACGCUGAAGAGAGGAGCUUGCUCUUCUUGGAUGAGUUGCGAACGGGUGAGUAACGCGUAGGUAACCUGCCUUGUAGCGGGGGAUAACUAUUGGAAACGAUAGCUAAUACCGCAUAACAAUGGAUGACACAUGUCAUUUAUUUGAAAGGGGCAAUUGCUCCACUACAAGAUGGACCUGCGUUGUAUUAGCUAGUAGGUGAGGUAACGGCUCACCUAGGCGACGAUACAUAGCCGACCUGAGAGGGUGAUCGGCCACACUGGGACUGAGACACGGCCCAGACUCCUACGGGAGGCAGCAGUAGGGAAUCUUCGGCAAUGGGGGCAACCCUGACCGAGCAACGCCGCGUGAGUGAAGAAGGUUUUCGGAUCGUAAAGCUCUGUUGUAAGUCAAGAACGAGUGUGAGAGUGGAAAGUUCACACUGUGACGGUAGCUUACCAGAAAGGGACGGCUAACUACGUGCCAGCAGCCGCGGUAAUACGUAGGUCCCGAGCGUUGUCCGGAUUUAUUGGGCGUAAAGCGAGCGCAGGCGGUUUGAUAAGUCUGAAGUUAAAGGCUGUGGCUCAACCAUAGUUCGCUUUGGAAACUGUCAAACUUGAGUGCAGAAGGGGAGAGUGGAAUUCCAUGUGUAGCGGUGAAAUGCGUAGAUAUAUGGAGGAACACCGGUGGCGAAAGCGGCUCUCUGGUCUGUAACUGACGCUGAGGCUCGAAAGCGUGGGGAGCGAACAGGAUUAGAUACCCUGGUAGUCCACGCCGUAAACGAUGAGUGCUAGGUGUUGGGUCCUUUCCGGGACUCAGUGCCGCAGCUAACGCAUUAAGCACUCCGCCUGGGGAGUACGACCGCAAGGUUGAAACUCAAAGGAAUUGACGGGGGCCCGCACAAGCGGUGGAGCAUGUGGUUUAAUUCGAAGCAACGCGAAGAACCUUACCAGGUCUUGACAUCCCGAUGCUAUUUCUAGAGAUAGAAAGUUACUUCGGUACAUCGGUGACAGGUGGUGCAUGGUUGUCGUCAGCUCGUGUCGUGAGAUGUUGGGUUAAGUCCCGCAACGAGCGCAACCCCUAUUGUUAGUUGCCAUCAUUCAGUUGGGCACUCUAGCGAGACUGCCGGUAAUAAACCGGAGGAAGGUGGGGAUGACGUCAAAUCAUCAUGCCCCUUAUGACCUGGGCUACACACGUGCUACAAUGGUUGGUACAACGAGUUGCGAGUCGGUGACGGCAAGCUAAUCUCUUAAAGCCAAUCUCAGUUCGGAUUGUAGGCUGCAACUCGCCUACAUGAAGUCGGAAUCGCUAGUAAUCGCGGAUCAGCACGCCGCGGUGAAUACGUUCCCGGGCCUUGUACACACCGCCCGUCACACCACGAGAGUUUGUAACACCCGAAGUCGGUGAGGUAACCUUUUGGAGCCAGCCGCCUAAGGUGGGAUAGAUGAUUGGGGUGAAGUCGUAACAAGGUAGCCGUAUCGGAAGGUGCGGCUG
rnacentral:rRNA from 1 species